CAAGCAAGGAUGGUUGAGAAAAUCAUGGAGACAUAAAAAAGGGGAAGAACCUGCAUGUAAGAGAGAAGAUACUGUGUGACUUUGUAAAUAGAUAUUGGAAAUUAGAGGUCAUCUGGGCUCUGCCGGUGUAGACUGGGCUCGACUGGUAGCUGUGCUUCAGUUUGCAGCGGCCAGAGCAGCUCUGUUUCUCUGUCUCCAUCCUCCUGGGACCAGCAGACUAGUCAGUGUCUGUUCUUCUUAUGCUGAUGGCAGAAGUUCAAGGGGGCAGGCACUUAGAACGACGACGAGUCACGGCAGAUGCAAAAAUUCACAGGGUGUGUUGUGGCAAAUAGAAAUCCCAGGAGUCUGAGGU